rnacentral:rRNA from 1 species
CAUGCGGCGUGAGAUGUCGGGUAUGGGCGACACUCCGCACGAUCCGAUGCAAGACAGAGAGGCCACCUUCUCCGAUGGACACCAGGUUUUGACUUCAGAUGAGUUCCCGGUGGACGGAGGGGACGAUGGCAGGUCCUCAG